CACACCCACACUGCACCACAACAUUGCACCACAUUGCACUACAUAACACAUACAUAACAAAAUCAACAGUUCUUUUAAGAACUUCUCUCUCCCUCUAUGUCUGUCCUUCUCAGAGUAUGCCUGAGAGAAAUAAAGAAGGUGUCCCGCUGCAGUACCCCCUGCUAUAUGGAGCCCCACAUGCUGGGCUGGAGGCCUCUCAUGCUGUCCACGGUCGAGCCCAGGCUGAUUUACUUCCUCUUCCCGAGGGA